UCAGUUUACCUAAUGCCACUGGGCACGGUGCCCUCAUCUUGCGGCUGCCAUUUUUAACGUCUUGCGUUUUUACCAUACUGCACCUUUGCUUCAGCUCAAGAGCAAUUUGUUUGGCGGGCAAACGUCACACUUAUCGAAGACCGCGUUCCUCUCUUCGUACCGUACCGCGCCCCCGAUUCGCGUAUAGCCUGAAAGCACAUCUUCAUCAUGUUAAGACUGUAUUGUCGUUUUUUUGUAGAGCGGAUUGCCGUGAAGCCAGAGAUGAAUUUAUUUCUUCUA